GACAGAGGAUGCAAGCGUUAUCCGGAAUGAUUGGGCGUAAAGCGUCUGUAGGUGGCUUUUUAAGUCCGCCGUCGAAUCCCAGGGCUCAACCCUGGACAGGCGGUGGAAACUACCAAGCUGGAGUACGGUAGGGGCAGAGGGAAUUUCCGGUGGAGCGGUGAAAUGCGUAGAGAUCGGAAAGAACACCAACGGCGAAAGCACUUUACUGGGCUAUCACUGACACUGAGAGACGAAAGCUAGGGUAGCAAAUGGG
rnacentral:rRNA from 1 species